GAGGAGGGAUGCCCACUCUAGCUAGCUGGGUGCCUUGGACUCAGGAGCGCACAGCCCCAAGCAAAUCCAAAGCUCAAUCAGGGCAUUCACUUUCUGUUAGAUGCUCUCUCUCCCCUCACCCCGAGCUGGGGGCGGGGACCCCGCAGACUUACUGAGGAGUUUCAGCCGGGUCCCUGCCUGCGUGCCUGUGGUCCUGCUGCGCGCUUGUGUCUGCUUCCCCGGGGCAGAGGGUGCAGAUCUGAGCUCUGUGGUGAUCUUUCUCCAGCCUGCCUUAUUCAUGGUGGGUGGGGAGUUGCUUCUUUCUGGUUUACUGAGCUGAGCUUUGGAGGGAAACUCGAAUGAUUUGUGGCCGUAGGGGCACGGGCUGCGGCAUUUCAGGAUGGGAUGGCGGGUGUUGAGUGCCGGUGCGUGGGAGCCAGGCAGUGGGGAGAGGGGCUCCACGAGGGGCAUGUCUGGUUCCGCAGGGGCUCAGGUAGCCGGCAUUGCACACCUCGGAGAGUGCCUCUCCCUGGGGGAAGUGCACCUGGUGUCUAGGACCCAGACCCCUGUGCACCCAGCCAGGGGCUCUCCCCAAAGCCAGGAGCUGUCUCAGCAGGGUCCGAGCAAAGUUACUUCCAGGCUGGUGCUGUCGGUGCGGCAUUCCCAGACACAGGGCACCCGGCGCCAGGUCCACGUUGGGGGUGGUAUCAUGCGGUGCCAAUGGUGGCAUCUACCCAGGUGGUCUCAGGCACGGAGGGGCAAAGCAAGGAGGUAUCUUUAGACCCAAACCCUCUAGGUCUCAGAAUAAAUCAGUUCAAAGCUAGUGCAGCCGGCCUCCCUGACAUAAAUUUUCCAGGCAAAGCCCCAGAAACAGCCACUGGGCAACAAUGGCUGAAGCUGGCAGGACGUGACCUCCGUGGGUCCCUGCAUUGUGUUCCGAUCCUCGCUAUAGACAGGAGCCAGACACGAAGACUCAGCCUCGGAAAGCCUGCCCUUGUGCAGGGAGGAGGCCUGCCCGAGCUGCAGGGGCGUGAGCGGCACCUGCCCCAAACAUGGCAGGAAAACACGGGCUUGUGGACAAAUGUGUCAUGGAGGCUUAGACCCGGAAAUCUCCCGGUCAGAAAAGCGCUCUGGGUUGAACACAACCCCUUUCUUCCAAGUGAGGAGCACCCGUCUCCUUUCACCAUCCCCCCCUUUCUCUCGACCCCUUUUCCUAUACACCCUCCGUGUGUUUGGAAUGGUGUUCCACUCUUGCCCACACAUCUGCAGCAGCCUCAGUGUUCUGGGCUAACGUCUUUGGCACAAAUAAUUUUGAGCCUGGUGUAUUCAAAUGAGCUGUAGAGAAGUCCUUGGCACCAGGGUCUUCUGAGGUCAGCAUGGCGUGGUGCUAAUGGUGGUGACUCACCUGGGCACCGUCAGACACAACCCUGGCCCAUCCCAGCCCCCGGAAGCUGCCAGGAUGGUCCAUUUGUCUCUAGACUUGAAGCUCUGGGGGCUGAGGGCUCGAAGCUGGCGGUCCCAGGCAAACGCCUCUCCCUGCCUGGUCUGGGUGACAAAUGAGUGUCCUUUCUCUCUGGCAUUUGCUGAGGGAACACCUGAUGGCUACAGCCACCAGCAAACACCACUGUUGGCACCCACCAUCCUGUCCACGUCCACGUGUGGCUGGUCACCCACGGGGAGGUCAAGUGAGAUAGGAGGGGGAGUGGGUGGCCCCUGAGCCCGGCCCCGUGACACAGCUGGGACUUGUGAGGUGAGCUGUGUGUGCUGCCAGACUGAGAGGGACAGGGACAGCCACCUGGCUUCGGCUUCUCCUCGACGGAGGCCUCCAACCUUCAGACAGGCACCGGGGGGCCCGAGGCGUCCCCAGGAAGGUGGCUGGGCAGGGCAGGAGCAGCAGGCAAGGUGACACGAGACCCUCAGGGACAGAGAGGGUUGGGGGUGGUGCUUAUACACCGAGGACACUUCUGCUCUCAGACAGCAGAACAGGGCAGCCCCUGCUGGGGGCAGCCGCCCCCCACUUUUUCUGGGUUUUCUCAGCUAGAACUUCCAGUGCAAUGGGUGCCGACCCCCUCACACCCCAGCACCAGCUUUGCCACCUGCCCUUUUCCCUGCCCGUGUGUAUGUGUGUGUGUGUGUGUGUGUGUGUGUGAGGUCCCACGGCCCUGCGCUUGACCCCCACAGUCCCUUGCAGGGGGUUCCAUGGGCCUGGGUCGGCCUUGGAGGAGGAUUCUGUGUCUCUGCGUCCCCUGGAGUCCCGGGAGCAGGGCGCAGUGCCUUGCAGUAGCUGGAGGGGGAAAAUGAGGUGGGGGCGCCACCCGACGGGGGACGCAGGAGGGUGCCCGUUUUGGUCCCGUGCGCAGGGCUCCUGGGACACCGUCCAGUGCUGACUCAGGGCACAUUCUCCCGGCUCUCUCUUCUCCCACCCCCGCUAACUGCCCCAGCGCUGGCUGGCCCUGCCUGCUGGGCUCUCCCGGGCUCCUUGCGCAGGGGCACUUGGAACAGACGCUGCUGCAGGCCCUCCCCCGCCCGCCCGGGCCGAGUCAGCAGUGCUGGCGGCUGCGGGGCUGCAGCGGCGGCGGCGAUGCGGGGCCCCUGCACCACUGCCCGCCGGGCGCGCUCUGCCCGCGCUCGCGUCCCGACGGCCACCGCCUGGCGGCUGCGCGAAGCCCGCGCCGACACCGGACCGCAGGCGCGGCGCUGAUUGGUGCAGCGAGUGAGUCCCCGGCUUUAUUUAGACCACCUUGUCCUGACAACCCGACUUCCUGGCCGCGGAGGGCUGGGGGCAGGAGGCAGCCGCCUCGUGGGAAGGAGGACGGACGGCGCGCUCUGCCCCUGCCGCCCGCAGCGGCCGGUGGCGCGCAGCCCGGGACCGACGCGCUCUCAGGCGCUGCCCGCCGAGCCUCACCAGGCGUGGGCGUGCUUUGGGGAAACUCCGUGGACCGAGGAGAAGGACCCUCCGAGGGAUUUUAGGAAGGCUGGGACAGGAGUCCCGCAAGCUGUGCCCAGCCUUGACUUUGCUCCGUCUGCUCUGAACCGCGGACGCCGAUUCGGAAGAGGAGGCAGCCUUCCUGGCUGGGGGAUGCCAUGAAGGGUCAGACCCGUCUUUCCUCUCCUGCACUUCACCUCUGACCCUGGCCGCCCCAAGCAUGGGGACCAAGCAGCCACAGUGGGAAGAUGCCCUGAAGCCACGUGGUCCAAGCCCUGGAUCAGAGAUAAAGACACAGGGCACAGGGAUCCAACAACUUCCCCAAGGACACGGGGAGCUCAGGGCGGGCCUGGGAUUCCCCAGGACGUGUUCCGACUUGGCCUGCAGAGUGAGGAUCAGGUCACCAGCGCCGGACCCAGCAGGAGCGAGGUAAGGGGAUCAGGGAAUGCCGAGGGGUCACAGACCUGGGGCUCUAAGAGCCACGGGCAAAACCAACACGCGGCAGCGCUGCUGGGAACUGCAUGCCGCCUCAGAGAUGUCGGCGGCACCUCUGCUUUAUGGCUGUCCCUGGACAAACGCCAGGGGGAGAAAAGACCAGACCGGUCCAGUUCUGCGCCUCUCAGUUCCGGGAAACUGCAGCCCCUGGUGUCUGGCUGUCCAGUGAUCCGUGCUGUAAUUCAGGAUUCUUCCAGCAGAGGGCGCCCGAGGACGCGGGAAGGAAAUCUUGCCCGGGCUAUGGGACAAGGCAGGAGAGGAGUUUUUGGUUGUAUCUGGCCCCGUUGAUCAGGGCUUUGUUUCUCCUGAAAACCCAGAAAGUUUACCCAGAAACUGCCUCUGACACUCAGCAGCACCUGUGUCGUCUCUCCCGGGCUCUCCCACGCCUCAUGUUCACAGUGCGGCAGCUUUCCUGGUUGGUGCUCGGUUCUUUUUUAUUUUAAGGAUUUAUUUGAAAGGCAGAGUUACAGAGAGACAGAGGUCUUCCAUUCGCUGGUUUACUCCCCAAAUGGCUGCAACCACCAGGGCUGGACCAGGCUGAAGCCAGGAGCCAGGGACCCCAUCAGGGUCUUCCGCAGGGGUGCAGGGGCCCAAGCACCCGGGCCACCCUCCACUGCUUUCCCAGGAGCAUGAGCAGGGAGCUGGGCCAGGACUGACUGGUGUCCGUAUGGGAUGCCGGUGUCACAGGCUGAGACUUUACCUGCUGAGUCACAGCACCAGCCUUUCCCCCAUGAAUUUUUAAAGAUUUAUUUAUUUAUUUAUUUAUUUGAGAGGCUGAGUUACAGACAGGCAAAGGUCUUCCAUCUGCUGGUUCACUCCCCAGAUGGCCACAGCGGCCAGAGCUGGGCCUAUCCAAAGCCAGAAGCCAGGAGCCAGGAGCUUCUUCUGGGUCUCCCACAUGGGUGCAGGGGCCCAAGCACCUGGACCAUCUUCCACUGCUUUUCCAGAUCACUAGCAGAGAGCUGGAUUGGAAAUGGAGCAGCCAGGACUCGAACCAGAACCUUUAUUUGAUGCUGGCCCCGUAAGCAGAGGCUUAGCCCACGAUGCCACAGUGCCGGCCCCUUUCAUGAAUUUUUAAAAGCCCCUCAUUUGGAUGGAUCUCAAAGUUUUCUUAUAGCAAAAUAGGCAUCUUUAAUUCCAUUUUCCAUGAACUUUUUGAAGUGUCCUUAUAUAUGUUCCAAAUAAUAAUGUUUAAAUUAUUUAUUUUAGUUAUUUGAAAAAGAGAGGGAGAUCGCUCAUUUGCUGCUUCACUCUCCAAAUGCCCGCAGCACCUGGGGCCUGGCCAGGCUGAACUCAGUUCCUGUCUCCUGAGUGGGUGGCAGAGACCCAGUACUUGGCCAUCACCUGCUGCCUCCCAGAGCUGCUCUCGUGGAGCUGGGACCCAAACCUUGGCACCCUGAUGUAGGAUGUGGGCUCUUUAAACCACCGUGCAAAACAUCUGUUCUCCGCCAAAAAAAAAUUCCUGAUAAUACCUCUCCUUUGUUUCAGGAUUUAUUUAUUUGAAAGUCAGAGUUACACAGAGAGAGAAGGAGAGGCAGAGAGAGAGAGAGAGAGAUCUUCCAUCCACUGGUUCACUCCACUAUUGGCCUAGACGGCUGGAGCUGUGACUAUCUGAAGCCAGGAGCCAGAAGCCAGGAGAUUCCUCCAGGUCUUCCACAUGGGUGCAGGGGCCCAAGCACUUGGGCCAUCUUCUACUGCUUUCCCAGGCCAUAGCAGAGCUGGAUCAGAAGUGGAGCAGCCGGGACUUGAACCGGUGCCCAUAUGGGAUGCCGGCACUGAAGACGGCAGCUUUACCCACUACAGUGUCGGCCCCAGGAUUUAUUUAUUUAUUUGAGAGGCAGAAUGUCAGAGGGAAGAGGGAGACACAGAAGGAGAGAGGAGAGAGAGAGAGAGAGAGAGAGAGAGAAUCUUCCAUCUGCCGGUUCACUCCUCAAAGGCCACAGCAGCCAGGGAUGGCCCACACUGAAGCCAGGAGCCUGGCACUCCACUUGGGUCUCCCACUUGGGCGGCAGGGGCGCAGGCCCUAGGGGCAGUCUUCUGUCUCCCCAAGCGCGAGAGCAGGAAGCAGGAUUGGAAGCAGAGCAGCCAGGACUUGAGCCGGCGGCUCUGAUGUGGGAUCCCAGCAUCCCAAGGGGUAGCUGAGCUGGCUGCCUCCAUCGUUUAGUUCAACCCAACUAGAAUGUGGGGCACCCACUGGCCCCCAAAGAGAAUCAGGGCUGUGAGGAUGCACACAGAGUGUCAGGUGCGUCCACCUCCCAGAAUCCACGGCGUUUCAGCCUCUGACAGCAGGUGCAAGGCAUCGAGCAGUGAGGGUCCAGGGCCCAGCGGCAGGGCUGACCCUCAGCCUCUGCCUUUUCCUCCCUCCUCUUUGUCCCGAGUCCUGGUGAAGAACAGAAGCCGGACGUGGUGUUCAGUAUCAUUCCCAGUAAGCUGCGCAGUUCUAUUGUAUUUGGGGUGUGAGAGAGAGAGAGAGAGAGAGAGAGAGAGAGAGAGAGAGAGAGAAAGCCUGCAUUUUUCUAAUGCCAUCUUGGCAUUCCUUCCUUUUGUGACACCCCAGGUCCCCUGAGACGUGGCAGUGGCCCGGGUGUCUCACGUCCCAGAGAGACCCCGGCUGCCCGCACGAGGCCCCGCCCACUGCGGCCGAGGCCACCUUGCCUCGCAGCCUGAAACCUCGGCUUCCCCCUGGGUGACCGACCUGCUUAUUUCACAACAGGGAGCGGAUCCUUUUUUGUUUUAAGUACUAAUCUGGCUUUGUAGGCCUAAGAUAGGGCUGGCUCAGGGUAAAACUGAGGUGGGCGGAGCCUGUCCUUGAGCACCCCCAUCCCAGGCUGCCCAGGCCGCCCCAGGCCCCCAGGAGCCUGGGAGCCAGGCUCAUGCUGCAUCCUGCCGCUCUCUAUUCUGCCUUGAGAGGGCGCAGUCUGCUGGGCACAGCGGUGUCCAUGGUCCCUGCUAACUUGCAAGGGCCCCAGGCCUCACCCAGGCACUGCGGGCGUGGCCUUUACUCCAGGGCGGGCGUUGGCACGAGGCCAGGCAGUCUGCAACCACCUCGCAGGGGCCCCGGUCCUGCACUGGGUGCGGCUUCCACACCGCUCUGCCGUUUUGCUUCUUCAGCUCCCCUCAGUUGCUUGGCAGCUGGCAUCCCAAGGCACGCGGGAGCGACGGACGGCUCCAGCCACAAAGCCCUGUGCGUCCCCUGUGUCCCUCCAGCCAAGAAUCAGUGGCUGCAGGUACGAACGGGGCAGGAUGGAGGGCUGGCGCUGACAAGGCGGGUGGAGGAACAGGCAUCGCGAUGGACAGGUCACUGUGUGUGUCCAAGUCCAAGUGCAUUCCUGCAUCCCCCCCCCCCCCCAGCUCUCUGCCUCUCUGCCGUCCUUUGGAUGUAGCCCAGAUGGCCAGCCCCUUCCACCCUGUGCCUCUGACAUUGGCUCAGCCUCAUUCCCUCAGCACCCACUGCUCCCAGACUUGAGCCCUGCAUGGCGUCCUAUGCACCCACCGGUGCCCGGAUGACCCCUGUUCUAUCCAACAGUCUGCAUUCCCUGAUGGCCAGCCUGGGCUUCCUUCUCCUGGGUGUGUGCCUCCUCUGAGUAAGCAAUAGUGACUCUGUGAGAAAGGGAGUUCUCGAUCAGGAGAGAACUGUCCCUUUCCCCCUCCACUGUGCUGUGGCUGUAGGAAAUGAGAAUCAGAAGGAGGGACCUCCGCACUCCCCAAGGACCACUGCUGUUCCUCUGGGGACCCAGGAUGGAACCUGCUCAUUCCAGCCUCUGCUUCUCCCUUGCUGUUGCUGCUGCCAACAGUGGAGACCCAGGAGGGCGGAGGGCAGGCCCCUGCGUCGUGCCUCAGUUGCUGUGGUUCCGUUGGCCCCAGGGAGAGGGAAAAGACUUGGAAAGCUUCCGCUGCAUAGGAACAGAGGCCAACAUUGUGACCGGGGAGCGGGGAGAGCCCGGCUGCUGCAGACCGGGCCCGGGGCUCAGCCAUUGUCUGGUGUUUGACCUCAGCACCUGGGCCAUUUGCGAUUCUAUGACACAUGCAGGAGCCCAGGGGUGGGUGUUGGCUCUCGGAGUCUGAGGGUCCAGCGAGCGGCCGUGGCCGCAGGUGCUGAUUUCGGAGCGGUCAGUGUGCAAGUGGCACAGAUGUGGUCACAUCAAGUCCAGAGUGUUUUUUGGUCCAGUGUAGCCUGACAACAGCCCAAGCUGCAAGCCAAAAGGGAUCGGCCAAGCCAGGAGCAGGAAGGCCGGGUUCCCUGAGUAACAGAGAGUGAGGAGAGUCACACAGAAUCACCGUGUUCCAGGGAAGUUUCUGGAAGAGUUGUGCAUAUUUAAAAGGGAGCCUGCCCGUGAAGUUAUCCCGUGGUUACAAGCAUUCUGGACCCACUUGGGGGUGAUCUGGCACUAGCACACGGGGUGUUGGCUUCCUGGGUCGGAAGGUGACAUCACAGCUUCUGUGCAGGCUCCUGGGACUGGUCACAGCUGGACCGGGACUGGCAGCUCCCUGCUGAGCAGAGUCAGCUGUUGUGCUGUGUCUGGGGGCUGCAGACAGCAGCCCCCUCCCCCUCCACUCCAGCCCUACGGGGAGUUGAGUCUAGUCUUCUUUCCUCUGGCCCACAGCUCCUUACUCCCCACGGGGAGUGGCCUUGCGUGGCAGACAGUGCUUUUAGCCUUGAACUUGGCCUGACUCAGAGCCGCUGUGGCCUCCCAACUGCAGGAUUCCUUCAGUCCAGUCAGCCCUGAUCUUCUCGUGCAUGACAGGUCCCUGGCGAGCCUAGACUUAUGGACGGGACGAGGACCUCCAACGGGUGCACAGUAAGACGGGGUGGAGGCACAUCCCAUGACGGGAAGGGCCCGUUUCCUUGGAGGGAAGCACCUUGGAAGCCUGAGUUCUCUUUGGCUUUAUGAUGUGGAUGGACUCGAGACAAAGGUGGGGGGUACGGCUCCGUGGGGAGCCCUUUGCGAGGAGAGGGGCAGGGUAAGAUGAGCGAGAGCACCGGACUGAGUGGCCACUGCUGGUUUGUCCGUCUCAGCAAGCGUUUCCACAGCACUUACUGUGUGCUCAGCUGUUUUAGAUGCUGAGUCAGCAACGAGCACAAACUAGGUGCUGCCCGCAUGGAGCUUCCAUGCUGUGGUUGUCAGGGGGAUGCACGGACCGACCCGAAAGCAAGUAGGUGGAUGGGCGCGGUGUGGAAGGCCUUGUCCAUCAGGUGAUGUUCGGUCACAGACAGGGAGGAAGCCGGGGGCAGGCGCUGUGGGUGUCUGCAGAAGCAGCUGUCCAGACAGGGGCAACAGCAGGUGAAAAGGCCCUGAGGUGGGACGGCGCCUGCUGCAUCCCGGGCUCAGCAAAGAGGCUGGAACAGAGGGCGGAGAGAGAAACGGGGCUGGGGGUAGUGGGGAGCCAGAUCCUUGGAGCUGUCAGGCCACGGAAGGGACUUGGGCUUUGACUCUGAGCGAGCUAGGAGGCGUGCAGGGUUUGAGCGGCGCAGUGCUGUGACUGGCUUCACUCCACAUCCAUGGAUCCGGCGCUAUGCACAGAACAGACUUUGCCAAGUGAGGGCGCUGUGAUGGUUGUCCAAGCUGGAGCAGAGUAGCGAUGCAGGCAGGAGCAGAAGCAGGACUAUGAGGAGACAGCAGGGAGGCAUUUGGGCUCCCGUGUACUUUGGGGGUGCGUUCAGCAGGCUGGGUGAUGCGCUGGGUGCAGGCGUCCAGGGUGGCCUGGGGCGUGCAGAAAGGAGGGAGUUGCGUCUUCGGAGACGGGAGCCUCCAGCGGGGCCGGCGGCUGCAGCCGAAUCCGGGCUUCCGUGAUGACACUGACAUGACUGUGGCACACCCACAGCCUUCCCGGUGGCACUCGGCUGUCCGAGUCGGGAGCCUGGGGAGGGGCGUAGCUGUGGACGUGGACGUGGUCGGGGAGCAGACGCACUGGCGGCCGUGAGUCUGGGUGAAGUCACCCAGGGAGGUGGAGGGAGAGUGAGUGGAGGCGGGGUCUGCAGGCCAAGCCCUGGGGUCCUGCAGCCCAGCAGGAGGGGCUGGAGAGGAACCAGCAGAGGCGACUGAGGAGCAACUGGAGAAGUGGCUGAGAACUAAGAGGGGGGGAGUUCCAGGGAUCAGGGAGGGUGUCCAGUGAGGCUGAUGGGGCACAAACUGACCAUUGCCCACCACAUCUGGGAAUAUGCAGGCCCCUGGUGACCUUGCCAAGUUCAUGUAGGGCAGUGGCCAGUGUCAGGCAGCGCCGCCUCCUUAGGACCCAGCGGGCAGGAACGAGAAGACUCAGGACAGGCGGCCGGCAGGGUCUGCAAAGCCAGCCCUUCUACCCCGAGUUUCAGCGGCUGCCCAUCAUGGUGUCCGCCGUGGUGGCAGAGCCAGCCUCCAGGCCCUCGGGCCUUGCAAGGUCCUUCGCGGGUGGCAGGUGCAGAACAGUGCUGGGGCCCCUUUCUCUGGAUGCCCCUCAGCCACGCAGCGGCCACAGCCCAAGCUCGACCUCUCUGAGCUCCGGCUGGACUCCAGGAAGACUCUGCGAGCUGCAUUGUGCGGCUCAGCAGCCACAGCCCCAUGGGCUCAUACAGCAACAGACUGAAUUUUAACUUUUGGAUCCAUGCGAACGGUUCCAUGUGGCUAGUAGCUGCCCUCCUGGACGGCAAAGGCACAGAGCAUCCCCACCACAGACAAAACUUUGCCAGAUGACACCUCGAUAUUUUAAACUCAGCUGGGAGGGCGGGGGCAGGGAGGAGACAGGGAAUCUUCUGAAAUUGCAAGAAUUUUGCGCAAUGUAGGUUGCUUUUCAUUUUCUCCUGGAAAAGGGUGAACUAGCUUUCUUCAGAUUCCCGAAGGGUUAUGGGACGCAAGAAGGGUUCAGACGGGUAACAGACAUAGUGACGUGCUGUGUAUACCGUGGUGCAUGCUAUGUGCACGCGUAUAUCAUACGAGCUUAAUACUCGUGUGUGCUGUGUAGCACCUGCAGAAGAGAGCUUACCUUUCACUUAGCAAGAGCUCCCUCUGACCCCAAGCUUGCGCUUAGGGAGGGCAGUAGCCAGGGCUGCUGCCCCUCAUGAAAAGACCACGAGGGAUGCCGGGAAGGAGACAGGCAUGGGGCACUGAGGCCUGGGGCGGGGGGGGGUUGGAUCCCUUUCCUGUCCCUCCAGCUGGUUCUAGACCUGGGACCAGGGCAGCUGCAGCGGGUGCAGGGGUGCGUGCUUGGCCUGACGGUGGAGCAGAUCCUGGGGCUCACAGGGGUCCAUUGUCUAAGGCUCCGCGCCUUCGGCCACAGGACAGAGCUUGGGUUACCAUGGGGUUUAAACAAGGUGAGAGCUGCAAAGCCCUUAGGCCUGGCCAGAGGAAAUGCAAGCGUGUUUGUUGAAUGAUCCAGCACAGCCCGUAGACUGUCAGUAACUGUGUCCCUCAAAAGCUCUGCGGGCAGCAAUGGGGCUGGACUAGAGGCUCAGCCUCCGCCAGAGGGAGAGCCCGCAGUCUGGCUGACCUGGGCAUCCCAGCCCUCUUUAAGGGGACAGUGGGGGGCUCCAGUUCAGCAGCCUCUGGGUGAGUGGGAGCCACUGGGAUUGCUUUGGGGAGGAGGGCAUUCUUGGGAGGGGACAAUGUCCUUCCCACAAUCCUUAGCACUAGAGCUGGGAGUUGUCUCCACCACCGGCCCUACUUCCGACUGAAGCUGGAGAUAUGGGAUGGAGCAGUUUUGUGUGGUUAUGAACACGUAGGCAUCGAGCAGGCCCGGGCACGUCUCAGUUCCUUGUGCAGGAGGUCAGGGAGUUUCCAUGAGACACAGCGAGAAUGGAGGGGUGUCCCCCAUGCCUGCCGCCUUGGUCACAUGGUGCCCUGUGUGUCCGGUGCAGUGGCCAACUGCCAUGCCUUUGGGGUGCAGUAGAGGCAUAACUCGGCAUCCAGGCCUGUGCCGAUGAGCCUAUAACCUAAGUCAAUUUGAGGCUCAGUUUACCAUCUACUGGACGGGGGUUUGCCAGAGCUGCCAGAGGAUGAGACAGUCUGUAAUACACAUGAGUGUGCAACAUUUAUAUCACCUACAAAUAGUAGCUAGGUAAUAUAUACGGACUGUAGGUUACGUAUCUGUUAACUAACUGAUCGCUAAGUAUCUCUGCUCAGUUUGGAAAAGGGUUGGUUGGAGAAAAAAGUCAGAGAGUGAUUUUAGGGGCUGGAGAAUGACCCGAAGGCGAUGUUGGGUUAAAAUACGCAGCCAUCACAGUCCUGAGCAAACGCUUACAGUCAUUCUCCCCUCUGCACAGUGUUCUGACUUCCGGCACUCAUUUGCUGGUUUUAAUCUGGGAGUGAACGCUUCACCAACCCAAGUCCAGUUGGGCUUCUGUAUUCAGAGAUGAUGGGGCCUUCAAAGCACGAGCGAGCCGGGCUUCCCAGAGCUCCUUCCACAUACGUGUGCCACGUGCACACACGCAUGACCCCGCCUGGCCGUCACCCCACCAAGUGAUUCGUUGCUGUCAGGGCUUCAGUGAACACGCCCUGACUCCCCCAGACCUCUGUCUCUUCCAGCAUCUGGGUCCCCGCCCUGUGCACCUGCUGUCUUGCUUGCAGAAGGGGAAAGAGAGAGAGUGCCUGGGCCUCUUGCCUGUGUGCCUCUGCUGCCACCACAGCCAGGGCCCCAGCAGGGACAGGCUGCAGCCACAGGGUGCCUGACCUCCCUGCUACAAGCUAUCAAGAUGGGAUGGGAUGGCUGCAGUUAGGGGCUCCCGGGCAACCAAGUGGGUCCACACACAUCUGUGUAAGCCCAUAAGGAAGAAUGGGGCUCGCCCCCCAGUUUUUUUUUUUUUUUUUUUUUUUUUUUUUACAGGCAGAGUGGACCAUGAGAGAGAGAGACAGAGAGAAAGGUCUUCCUUUGCCGUUGGUUCACCCUCCAAUGGACGCCGCAGCUGGCGCACUGAGGCUGGCGCACCGCGCUGAUCCGAAGCCAGGAGCCAGGUACUUACCCUGGUCUCCCAUGGGGCGCAGGGCCCAAGCACUUGGGCCAUCCUCCACUGCACUCCCUGGCCACAGCAGAAAGCUGGCCUGGAAGAGGGGCAACCGGGACAGAAUCCAGUGCCCCGACCGGGACUAGAACCUGGUGUGCCGGCGCUGCAAGGCAGAGGAUUAGCCUAAUGAGCCGCGGCGCCGGCCACCCCACAAUGUUUUGGCCAACACUGUGGCAUAGAGGGUGAGGCCGCCACCUGCAGUGCCGGCAUCCCAUAUGGGCACCGGUUCGAGUCCCAGCUGCUCCACUUCCGAUCCAGCUCUCUGCUAUAGCCUGGGAAAGCAGUAGAAGGUGGCCCAAGUGCUUGGGCCCCUGCUAUCCAUGGGGGAGACCUGGAGGAAGCUCCUGGCUCCUGGCUUCGGAUUGACAUAGCUCCGGCAGUUGCAGCCAACUGGGGAGUGAACCAGUGGAUGGAAGACCUCUCUCUCUGUCUCUCUCUCUGCCUCUCCUCUCUCUGUGUAACCUGACUUUCAGGUAAAUGGAUAAAUCUUUUUUUUUUUUUUUAAAAAAGGAGGAAUGAGGCUUACCCCCAACUUUUUUAAGGUCUAUUUAUUUAUUAGAAAGUCAAAGUUACAGAGAGGAAGGAAGGUAAGGAGGGAGGGAGAGAGAGAGGGGGAGAGAGAGAGAGAGAGAGAGAGAUCUUCCAUUCACUGGUUCAUUCCCCAGAUGACCACAAUGCCAGGGUUGGGCCAGGAUGAAGCCAUGAGCCAAGAGCUUCAUUUGAGUCCCCCACAUGGGUAGCAGGGGCCCAAGCACUUGGGCCAUCAUCUGCAGCUUUUCCCAGGCUCAUUAGCAGGGAGCUGUGUCAGAAGUGGGGCGGCAGGGACAGGGACCGGUGCUCACGGGAUGCCAGCAUUGCAGGCAGCAGCUUAACCUGCUUACACCACAGCACGGCCCCCACCCUUCCCUGCACCUCUUUGAACCUGAGAUCCACCUACCCCCAGUCUCACUCUCGUACAGCGUGUGGCCUUCGGCAGAUGGUAGAACAUCACAGCGCCGUGCAGCAGCACCACUGUGCAGCUCAGGGACUUUUUCAUCCUCCUUUUAAAUUCUCGCUUUUGGACACGAUGGAGACCCCAGUCCUGGGUUCCUGGCUGGGCCUUCCCAUGGAUUCGGACCUGGAGGUUUCUCAAACACUUCAUUGCGUUCAUUUUUCUCGUCGGGGGCAGGAGGCCAAGCAGGCGCCAACCCGCUCUGGGCCUCUGUGGUUAAACUCAGUGCCCGAAGGCUUCCUGGAGGAUGUGGGAGCUCUCCAUGCUGCAGCUCCCUUUCUCCAAACACAGCUCCAGCUCUCAGGUGAGGGGUGUGAGUGGAGGCGGGUGGACCUCAGACGCUGGGUGGCCCCAGAGUCCUCACACCUGGCCAAGCUAGGGCACGACAGACCCGCACAAAUGGACAGACCUUUGCGAACCAGUCCUUGUUUAUACAGACACCCUUAAAGGUGGAAGAACAAAUAAGGCCUGGACCUGGUGUGACCUUUCUGGAGGGUGCGGGCAAGAAUUGGCUUAUGUCCAUCUCCAAAGUGUUGAUUUGACUGCUAACUGCUUGGGUCAAGGCAAGUGUUAGAGGUUCUGAAGAAGAGCAAGGAGGGGCGCUCCGAGGGAAGUGGUCCCACGUGUGCACCUGCACGGGGCAGGGAACCAGCGCUUCCUUAAAGCCUGGCACCCGGUAGCUGCUCCACUACGGUGAGCAACUCCGGCACCGGAUGCUGUGUGGUGCUGUCCACUCACUCAGUCCACAGUAUUGUGGCAUCCCUCCCACGCACCUGACGCUGUCUGAUACACAAGGACGCAGCUCGGAGAAGCUAAACAGUUCGCUAAGCUGAGGCAAGACAGCAGCGGGGGCUUGGUGGUGUGACGGCUUGGGUCUGGUGCUGGGGCUGCCCGUCCUCCCUGGGAUGCUAGCCAAGUUUCACCUUUCCGUCCUCAGGUUCCUCACCUGUAAAUGGGGCAGUGCGAGUACUGAUCCCAAAGGAUUGUUUGAAGACGGGAUGAGCUUCUCUGAGGGAGGGUUAGGGUGGUAUGUGGCACACUGAGAGCCCUUGGAGCGUGCGGCUAUCACAGACUGAGCUCCCCGGUCCAAAACGCUGAAAUGCUCCAAAAUGCAAAAUGUCUUGAGCACCAACAUGAUGUCACGAGUGGAAGAUUCCACACCUGACCUCAUGGGACAUGUCACACUUGAAAGCAGGUGCACUAAAAAUACUUCGCAAAAUUACCUUCGGGCUCUGUGCAUAAGGUACGGAUGGGAAGUGCCGGGAUUUUGCGUUUAGAAUCGAUCCCACCCCCCAAGGUAUCUCUUUAUGUUUGCGGACAUUCCAAAAUCUGAAAUCCAAAGCACUGCUGGUUGCAAGCAUUUCGGGUAAGGGAUCUGCCAGCCAGGGUUGGCACCCACUUCCACAAGAGCAGAGAGGCUUUGCUUGCUUGCGGGUGCUCUGCCCUGUGUGGCGGGCACCUGGGGUGACGGUGGCCGUGGAGGGAGGCAGGGCGCUGCAGGGGUGCGGAAGGGCGGGCAGGACUGCAGCCGCCCCCGCCACUGAGCCUUCUCACCUGAGGCUGGCUCACGGCUUCUCUAGGACUCUCCUAGAAUCCUCGCAGCCUAUGGACACCAUGGGCUCCGCACACGCUCAUCUCUGCCCGCUCCGGGCGUCUCAUCCCUGGAAAGGGGCAGCUCCUACCUGGCUUCUUCUGGUUCCCUCCAGUGCGCCCGAACGUGCGAGCAACCCCGGCCGGCACUCGCCUUCUUGCCGUGGCUCGCGCUCUCCCCUGUCGUUGGUGCACACCGAGGCGAUGCGGCCGCGCGGCGGGGACCGGCAGCCUGUGAGUGUGCGUGCAUGCGCGCGCGUCUGCAAGGAAGGCUUGCUUCCGAUGAAGCAGCUUCUGUCCUGGGACAAACCCGGGUUAGAAACGCGCAGGGGGCUCAGGGCGUCUCUGCCGCUUCAGACCUUAGCGCCGUGGGCCCGAAGGCAGCUUGACCUGGAAUGGGCCCAGGUGGGCGCCGGCUCCAACGGGGUGGAUCCGCAAUGGCUGGGGGCGGCGUGGUGAGUGGGAACCCUCUUCCCGGGGCGGGGGGUCUUCAGGGCAGCCCCCAGACAGACCGCCGCGCGCCCGGGACAGCAUGCGCACCGCGAGAAACCGGAGGCGCGCGCCGCUCCGGCUGCCCCAGCUCCUCCCUGCAGCUCCGCGCUCUGGACCCGUGUCCGAGUUUGCGUCCCCGGACCUUUAAGGCCGGUGCCUGGGCUGCGCCCCGCACCCUCCGCUGAGCCCCGCCCCGCCCCGCUCAGGGUCCCCCGCCCUGAGCGCCCGGCUCCGGAGCGCUGUGCGCCGGCCCUGUCCGCAGCUGAGCUCCGUGUUCCAGGACGCGCGGAGGGCCGGGUCACCCCAGCUUCGCCAGGACUUGGGGGCGCGAGAUCGGGGCCCUCGGAGCCGCGGCGAGCGUGGGAGCCAUGCCCGGAGGCAGGAGCGGCCGGGGAGCCCGCGCGACCUGCUCGCGCCGUCCGAGAUGAGCUCAGGUAACCGCGCGCUUCUCGGUCUGGGUGAAAGUUUGGCAGGAUGGAGGCCGGGCGAGAGCGGCAGUGGUGAGGGAAACCCGGGCCCCUGCCGUGGCCGCCGUGGCCCCGCGAUUUUCCAGGAAGCAAUAGAAUGCCCUUUAAGUUCCUAGUCUCUGGGGAGCAGGGGGUUCCUCCUUUCUCUCGGGUCUAGGAGCGGGGACAUGCGGGCGCUGGCUUUCCCGCGCCGCCUACCCGAGCCACGGGAGCAAACACCCCAUCUCCCCGGGGUCCUGGCACUGGGGCAUGGAUCCCGGCCACCCGAGGUUAAGGUGGAAAAACUCUCAGGAGACAUGGGGAGCGCCGUGGGCACUGUGGCAGUGUUGGGUAAGAAGUCGGGUUUCCUGUGCGCCAGAAUUAGCAGGUGGACAGGAGCGCCCCCCGCCGGCCGCUGCCCCCAGCACGGUCCCGCGGCCAGGCUGGGUGGAGACUGCCAGAGAGGGAGGAGGCCCUUGGAGCCAGGCCUCAUCGCCUAGGUGGGGAGGAUGUAGCUGGUGGCACUGAUUAACAACGCCCCCGCCUCCCUGGGCCCAGGACCCGGAACGUGCACCCUGUGACACAUCCACUCGGCUCCUGAACCGGGGAGUGCCUGGGCUGCCUGCCUCGGUGCCUGUGCAACUCUUUUAGUAGAUGUCAGACGUCACAGCCUGGGUGCAGAAUGUCCUGUUUUAAGUUAUGAGGGUCCAGUUCUGCCCCUGCCCCCAGUUCUGAGAUAUUAGGGACGCACGUCCCCCCACCCCAAGCCUGUGUGCUCUCCAUCAUGAGCCAGUAGGGCUGAGCAGCAAUGAGUGGCCGGCCUGAGGCUGAGCGCAGGCGCCUGUGGUUGUCAGCUUCCCCGUGUGUGUCUGUCUGCAUCAGCGCGCACUCUGCACCUGUGCCAGUCGGUGGCCCAUGUCCUGGGCGUCCCCAGCCCAAGAGCUGGCCAGGGGUUGCCUUGCUGGGCCCUGCCAGAGGCUCCCCAGGCUGACAGGCGGGGCAGACACAGCUCUGCACCCCCACUUCCUACUCUGAGCCCUUGCAUGCUGGCGCCCCCCUCCAGGUCCCUGUCAUCACAGCACCCAGGCAGCACUCUCUGUUGAUGGUGUCACCUGUUGGAGUUGGGAGUUGGAGGAUGCCGGGGCAAGCCAGGUGAUCAGAUCAGCGCCCUAGAAGAUCACCAGGCCGGGCCCAGUCCGUGCACUGCACAGUGAGUCACUGAAUCUGGUGCAAGGACAAAGCUUUCAGGCCGAGGGCUCAGUGCGUGCACAAGCCCAGUGUUGGGCAAGCUGGCGAGGCUGCAGGUGGACCUGCAUGGCCCUUGGCCGUGAGGAUCAGAGGGGUGCAUUUGACCCUCAACUGUGCCUGGCUGGCAGGGCCUUCUUCCAAGAGUACACAAAUCAGCGCUGCAGCUACCACCGCCCGUGUGUGCUGUGUGUGUGUGAGAGCCGCUGGGGUGCCGGGCAGGUCAUUCCUGCACCUGGUACGGCUCACAGUUCUCCUUUUGUAAGGUGCCUCAGGACCCCACAGGGUCCCCGGGGUUCUGGCCUGGAUGCAGGUUUAAGUUAAAGACCUUCCUUCCAGCCGCAUCUCUGUUACUGUCUGUGAACUUGGAAAUGAGACUUGACCUUCCUGGCUGUGGUUCCGGGUCUAUGAAUUUAAUGCAUGUGUAUAUUUAAUGAAUAUAUAUAUAUAUUCAUUUUAUUUCUAAGAAAGGCAGGGAGACAGAGAGGGAAAGAGAGAGAUAUUCCCUUCUCUGGUUCACUCAUUCCCCAAAUGUCUACAACAGCAGAGCUGGGCCAGGUGAAAGCCAGGAGCUGGGAAUGCCAUGUGGGUUUCUGACAUGAGUGGCAGGGACCGCAGUACUUGGACCAUCACCUGUUCCUCCAGGGUGUGCAUUAGCAGGAAGCGAGGACUGGAAGCAAAGUAGCUAGGAUUAGAACCUCGGCACUCCAAUAUGGGGUGCAGGCAUCCCAGGGGGCAACUUAACUGCUGCGCCAAACGACCGCUCCCAUGUCUAUAAAUCUGAGCUUCUGCGAGGACCUGCUGCGCUGAGGCGUGGUGCAGAGCCGCCAGCUGCUGUGGCUGCUCUCGGGCAGCAAAGCACGAAGCUUCCAUCACUGCAAUACGCUCCCUAAAUUGGAAGAGCCCUCCUCUAUGCCAGUACCAAACAGGGGGCUUGGGGGGUUUUUGGUUGGCUGCAUUUUUGCAUUGCAAAUAUCUCUCCCUUCCCCUUCCUAAAAAUUGGUGCUUUCAUUUUUUAAAAAACUAACAAGUAUUGCAAAUAUGCAAACGGAAUAAAACGCCUUGGCUUGAGGUAAAAAUGAAAAAAGAUCUGUGAAGGGGUCCAUUUUGACUGCGGCGUGCAGUCACUGGGGUGCACCCAGCUCCAUGUCCCCAGCUGUGGGUUGGGGUAGCUGGGGCAGGCAGAGGGCACCUGCCUGGGAAUGCUUGGGGGGCAACAGUGGCCUCUGACUCAGCCCUCCAGCCCCCCCUCGCCUGGCACAGGGCUGGCAGCCCCAGGCAACUUCCCAUUGCCUCCCCUAGACAGAGGGUACAUCCUGGUUUAGGAGGCUGUGUCACACCUGUGCUAGGAAUCAGCUCAGUGCGACAGGUUGGCAAGCACUCCCUCCCCCAUCCCAGCAUGGAUUCUAAGCUGCUGUGUUCAGUUUCGACAACAUGAAUUUAAAUAGAGCUCCAGUGCCAAUGGCUAAGCCUCUGGUCGCUGCACCAGCACUGCAGGGUGCAGGUGAGUGUCCCACACCACAUGCUGGGUAGGGGCCCCUCCUCCCCACAGCAGGUGGAAACCCUCUCCUGCAGCCCGGACUCCCUCCCAGGGAGCUGCUGCUUUUUUUUUUUUCUUUCAAAGAUUUAUUCUUUAUUUGUUUGGCAGAGUUAGGGGGAGAGAGAAAGAGAGAGAGAGAGCGAGCAAGAGAGCGCUUCCAUCCACUGGUUCACUCCCCAAAUGGCUGCACCGGCCAGAGCCGGGCCAGUUGGAAGCCAGGAGCCAGGAGCCUCUUCCAGGUUCCCCAAGCAGGCGUGGUCUUCGGUGCUGCUAAGCAUCUCUUGACGCAUUUUCCUAGCCUGGAAUAAGCCGUUCCCAUCCUGCCCCCAUGCCAGCGUCACACGAGGAUCACACGAGACAGUCAUGUGUCCCCCUGGACCCCCGUCCCAGGCUCCAAACCACAGGUGCAAAGACAGGGCGGGGACCAGCAUGAAUGCACAGACAGCGAGCGCUAUUGCUGUCCGCCCAGCGCUGUGCAGUGCGACCUCACUGAACCCCUGGAGCAGCGCGGCGCUGCUGUUGCUCCCAUUUUCACGUGCGAGGAAGUGGAGGGUUUUACUGCACAGAACCGGCUUGGGCGUGGUCAGGGCAGAACCCGGCGUGCGGCGUGACUCAGUCUGCGUCAGCACCACUCUGCUGCCUUCCAGGAGGAGGCAGCAGGCCUGGCCCUGCGGGGGGACCUGAAAUGGGCAUGGGGGUGCUUUGGGGAGCACAAGCCGUGUAAGAGUUAGGGGCAGGGGCCGACACCCUCCUGACAUCACCGCUGUGCUUGGUUCUACCGAUGCCUGCCAGGUGACCACGGACUCCGUGGCCUGGGAACACACCUGUGUUAUCUCACAGCGUCUGGGCACAGUGUAGCUGGGUCCUGCACCAGGCUGUUAUCAGGUUCUCAGCCAGGCCUGGGGGUCAUCUGGUGACUCACUAGGGAAGGGUCCCCUAGGAAAUGCACUCGGGUGGUUGGCGGGAUUCCUCUCUGAUCGGACCACUGAGGCCCGUGGCUUCUUGCUGGCUGGUGGCCAGGGGCUGCUCCAGAGCCCCUGUAGCCCCUGGCCCUGCAGCCCCGCCCUGGGGUCUCCCACGACAUGGCGGCUCACUUCUCUGCAGCCAGCAAAGGGAGCAUCUCUAGUGCGAGUAUGAGAGCAAGAGGGGGUCUUAGGUGCCACGAACCCAGGGUGGCAUCCCCCGUCCCAGGCCACGUUCUGUGGGCUGGAAGUCGAGCACUGGUUCCCCAUACUCACAGGGAGGGCCCCCGUGGGGUCCGCCCCCAGACUCUGGUGCUCUGUGCGGCUCCUCUGUCCUUGUGUUUUCUUCACAUCAGUGACUUCCAGCUCACAGGAAGAGUGAGGACAGUGACGCCUUUGCUGAUGCCCUGGGUGUGAGGACCUGCGGGGUCCUGCGCACAUCUGUGGCUGAAUGGGCCUGGGGAUUGUUUUUUAAGAUUUAUAUUUAUUUAUUUAACAGGAAGAGUAAGAGUGAGAGGGAGAGACAGAGAGAGAGGUCUUCCAUCUGCUAGUUCACUCCCCCAAAUGGCCACAAUGGCCGGAGCUGGGUGGGUCCAAAGCCAGGAGCCAGGAGCCAGGAGCUUCUUCCAGGUCUCCCAUGUGGGUGCAGCGGCCCAAGAACCUGGGCCAUCUUCCACUGCUUUCCCAGGUCAUAGCAGAGGGCUGGAUCGGAAGAGGAACUGCCAGGACUAGAAUUGGUGCCCAUACAGGGUGCCAGCACCACAGACAGAGGAUUAACCCACUGCAGCACAGCGCCGGCCCUGGCCCUGGGGGUUUUAUAAAAGACAGAUUGGGUGAGGGAAUCUUGAGGCAGAAUCAGCAGAGGGAAGAGAGGGGCAGGUGAGGGGUUUACACGUUCCAUGGGAACUCUCAGAUUCAUCCGUCUCUUCGUUUAUUCCUUCCUUCCUUCCUUCCUUCCUUCCUUCCUUCCUUCCUUCCUUCCUUUAUGUGUUCACAUAUCCGGUGCACUCAGUUGAAUUCUUUUCAUGUCUUGUGCUCCGUGCAGUGCUGGGGGCUGACACAGACCUGGCUUAUUCCUGCAGUGUCCAGACAGACAUAAUAGGAGAGGGUGGGACGGGUGGGACGGGUGGGACACCCUCCCCCUGGCUUCACUGCCUGGGGCAGGGGAUGGGGGACUGGGGACAAGCAGGGAACCGUGUGUGAGGACAGAGGUGGAGGGGGGCCAACAUGGGGGCUGUCCUCAGCAGGAGACGCAUUGGGGUGGGAACACCCUCCCACUAGUGACGUGACAGGGAGCAGAGCGUUGCUUCCAGUGAGCGCUUCGUCUUUGGGACACAGGGUGUCUGGGGUGGGACCACGGGACGCCAGGCAGCCUGACCCCCGGGAAGCCGUGUGUGUCCGGGCCAGCUGCAGACAUACCGUUCUGCCCCAGAGCUUCUCAGCGGAUGUUUGCUCUUGGAAAUCUUUCUAGCACAGAACUUGAGUUUCCCCUGCUUCUUAACUUCUCUUAUAUAAAAAUUUAUUCAUUUGAAAGUCAGAAUUACAGAAGGAGAGCCAGAAAGAGAUAGAGAGAGAGAUAGAUUAUCCAUCUGCUGGUUCACUCCCCAGAUGGCUGCAAUGGCCGGGCUGGGCCAGGCGGAAGCCAGCAGCUUCAUCCAGGUCUCCCACGUGGGUGGCAGGGGCCCAAGGACUUGGGCCAUCUUCUACUGAUUUUCCUAGGCCAUCAGCAGAGAGCUGGUUCGGAAGUGGAGCAUCUGGGACUUGAACCAGCACCUUACGUGGGAUGCGGUUGUCACAGGUGGCGGCUUUACACGCCAUGCCACAUCGCCGGCCACUGAGACACAAUGUUACCUUCUCCUGCUGAAGCAGAUACUCCCUGUGACGUGAGUCACUGUGCCAGGGCCCCCGCCUCAGACCUCAGGGCUUUUCUCCAAGCCGGGAGUGUUUCCUGGUAGUUCCACUUCUGCCUGGAAAAUCCAGUUUCUGCACAUCAUUUCUAACCUUUGAGCCGUGGCUGGUAGGUUACCUUGGGCUCAGAAAGCCCGUCCCCGAGUCGCUUGGCGUUGGUAGAAAGAACAGGCCAAUCCCGCAGGGUGCACAGGCGAGCGUGCCCCGCCCCAGCGGUGAGGGGCAGUGUCAUGUGAGUUGAGUCACUGCGUUCAUUGAUGUUAGCUGGGCUGUUUCCUUGCUCACUGUGAAGGUGGGAGGCAGGGAGGGUGGUAGGGAAGAGUUGUCCUGACUCACAGCAUUCGGGAAUGUUAACGGGCACAGCGGGGCCCUGAGGACGGGCCGGACAUGGUGACAGGAGUUUGGGUUGCUGAGAGGCCUUACCUACCUCUCUUUUUAUUUCUUUCUCUCUCCCUCCCUUCCUCCCUCCCUCCCUUCCUUCCUUCCUCACUGUCUCUAUCUCUGUCUCUGUCUCUUUCUUUUAGAUUCAUUUAUUUGAGAGAGAGAGAUCCUCCAUUCUCUGGCUCAUUCCUUAAAUGGCCACACUAGCCAGGACUGGACCAGGCCAAAACCAAGAAUCAGGGACUCCAUCGGGGUCUUCCAUGUGAGCGCGGGGAAUGAAGCACCUGGGCUAUCUUCCGCGGCCUCCCAGGUGCAUUAGCAGGGAGCCGGAUCGGAAGCAGAGCCGCGGGGACUGGAACCGGACUCUGAUUUGGGAUGCAGCACCCAGGCGGCAGGUAGCCUGCUGCCCCGGGGGCUUCCUGACCUGCUUCCUGGCCCCGUGUCGCAGGUGCAUCAGGGAGCUCACUGGUGACUCCAAGAGUAAAUUAGCUUCCUGUCACCGCUGUGACAAAUGCUGUAAACCAAAUGACGUAAAAUCAAGAACUGUGUCCUCUCCCGGUUCUGAGGACAGAGACCCCGCCCAUGGCUGCCAGGAAGAACCCUUCCCUGUCUCUGUCAGCUUCCAGCUUCUGUGUGUGGGGGUGUGACACUCCAGCCUCAGCCCCUGUCUGCCAGCACCUUCUGUGUGUUUGGGUCUGUGCCUGUCUCAAGCCCCUCUGCCUGUUAAUAAGGACCCUCGGCACUGGGUGUAGGACCCACCUGGGUCAUCCAAGACGUAGAUUGUCCCUGCAGGGCCACUUUCCCCGGUGCCGGGGAGUUGGUGUGGGUGUCUUUCAGGGGUGUCUCUCGGCCUCCUGAGGGGUGUGAAGGCAGUGAGGGGUUCCGAGCACAGCCUGGCGUGGUGCAGGACCACUGCCGAUGUUGCCACUGCUGUUGUCAUUCUGCACCCUCUCAUCAUUGCCUGAGUGCCCAGGUAUCUGCCUGGCCCAUCGUCAGGUGGGGGCCAAGGGUGCAGGAGUGAGGUGUGGCCCUGGCCCGUGAGCAGGCAAUGCCCUGGCUUCUGGUGUCUGAGCCCCGGCGCUCAGUUCUGUGGACUUCCCCAGCCGGGUCUGCAGACCUGCCCUUGCUCAGCGUGUGGUUACCUCGGGGUGUGGCAUCCCCGUUCCAAGAAACCCUCGGAACUUAGGAGAAACCCAGGUCACUGGUAACUUACAAGCCAGUGUCCUCCAACAAAGCAUCCUUCCUUAGGUUUCUAGCAUCUACAGCACUGUCUGCUGUCGCUUCUGUUUGGCUGUCCUGUUCUGUUUUUAUUUAUUUAUUUUUUUUAUUUUUUGCCAGGCAGAGUUAGACAGUGCAAGAGAGAGACACAGAGAGAGAGUUACAGACAGUGAGAGACAGAGAGAAAGGUCUUCCUUCUGUUGGUUCACUCCCCUAAUGGCUGCCACGGCUGGCGCUGCACCGAUCUGAAGCCAGGAGCCAGGUGCUUCUCCUGGUCUCCCAUGGGGUGCAGGGCCCAAGCACUUGGGCCAUCCUCCACUGCCCUCCCGGGCCACAGCAGAGAGCUGGACUGGAAGAGGAGCAACUGGGACAGAAUCCAGCUCCCCGACCGGGACUAGAACCCGGGGUGCCGGCGCCGCAGGCAGAGGAUUAGCCUAGUGAGCCAAGGUGCUGGUCCUGUUUUGUUUUUAAAGAUUUAUUUUAUUUAUUUGAAAGACAGAGUUACGGGGCGGUGGGGAGAGGGACAAAGAGAGAUCUUCCAUCUUUUGAUUUACUCCCCAAAUGGUCACAGUAGCUGGGGCUGGGCCAAAUAGAAGCAGGAGCCUGGAACUCCAUCUAGGUCUCCCACGUGGGUGCAGGAACCCAAGCGCUUGGGCCAUCUUCUGCUACUUUCCUAGGCCGUAGCAGGGAGCUGGGUCAGGAAUGGAGCAGCUAGGACGUGAACUGGCGCUCAUACCAGAUGCUGGCACUGCAGGUGACAGCUCAACCUGCUGUGCCACAAUAUGGGGCCCAAUAAGACUCUUUUGUCCUUUUUUACAGAACAUACCCCUGCAGCUCAGCCAGGUCUCUGAGUGCACCCGAGUGCCAGCCCAGUCUGUCCCCUGCCCCCUGCCCUCCAACCUUCCCUGCUCUCUCAGACACUGAACUGGCAACCGCCGUGCCUUGUCUGCUGUGCUAGGGACUGAAACAGGAAGCUUGUGUCCAUUUGGCAAGGAGGUGAUGGAGCAAGGGUAGCACCGGAGCCCAUAGCCGCCGUGUAAGGUGUAAGGUGCCGCGGGAGGGGUGGGCUGGCUGGGGAGCAGGACAGGAGCUGGCUGGGGAGGUUGGGGGAAGGUGUUCAGGGCAGGGAGAUUCGGUGUCCCCGGGGAGCAGAGGACCCUGGUCUGCAACCCCUGCUUCCCUCCGGGUGCCAUCCGGUCUCCUCCUGUGAGCUGGCUUCUCAGAAACCAGAGCUUCGUUCUUUUGGCUUCAUCCAGAUAAAAAACGCACUCAGUGCUCAAGUGCAAAACCCCCUGAGCUAGGGGACUCUCCCGCUACAGGCGCUGCUCAGGUCUCAGGGCCUCCGACGUGCACUUGGGGCAGGGUUUGCUUGUGAACUGGGGCUGGGCAAGGACAGAGGUGUGGGUGGAAAAGGGGUCAUCGGGGCAUGGGAUGGGGACACAGCGGACAACACUCGGUGGUCCCCCAGCAUCCCUCCUUUCUGCUUUGCUUGGGCCAGCCAUGGGCUUCCACCCGACCCGGACACUGGAUCCUGAUGCUCUUUCCGGAGCCCCUCCAGUGGACGGCAGGUGGGUUCCUCCCUCCAUGAGCCGCCUGAGCCCUGCAUUCCCAACUGCUUCCCCCUGGGUCUCUCCCACCCCUCCCUCCUUUACCCCAGGGCGGCAGCUGACUCCUAUGGCCGCGCACCGUCCCGGGGCUCAGGACCCCAGCCUGGGCUCCCGGGAGCUGCUCUUUCCUGCUGUGGGCGGCACCUCGCGCCCUAGUCCACGGGGAACGUCGCCUGUGUCUGCUGAAGGGAAGCGACAAGCCUUAGGUUAUUAUUUCAUCCAUUUGCCAUUUUCUUUGUCGUCAUUUUACAAUGCAUACUAUAUGGUUAAAAUGUGAUGCUGCUACACUCAAAUGUUGCACUUUUAACAUGUUUAAUUUGUAGUUAUUUUGAGAGAGAGACUGAGAAAGGCUCAUCCCCUGGUUGACUCCCCAAGAGCCCUCAACAGCUGAGGCUGGGACUUGUGCUGGAGGCGGGCACUCAGCACAGAUCUCUCAUGUGGGUGGCAGGCGAUCAUUACUUGAGCCACCACCGCUGCCUCCCAGGGUCCGCAUUAGCAGAACCGGGUAUCAAACCCAGACGCUCCACUGUGGGAUGCAGGCAUCAAACAGUGUCUCAACCGCAGUACCAAGUGCUCAUCCCCUUAGCAUUUUUUUUUUACUAUGAUGUUAAUGGAGAAGUAGAUACCAUAAGAAUGGCAGAGCAAGUGAGCUGUCCUAUGGAGCCGGAACCUUGUCCAUGCAGCUCUGGCCCUCUGGGAGCCUCAGUCCAUCUUCCAGGACAGGUGAGGAGCUGGGAAAAGUGGACCAGUGUGAGCUGUGGAUGCUGGCUGUGGCAAACAGAGGGGAGGGGAGCCUGGACCCGUGCAGGCACACAGAGCUAUAGAGUGAAGCAGCACACAGGACCAUGUGCAGCCUGGGAUUCUUGCGAGCGGUCAAAUGGAAAAGCAGGUGAUGGGUUCAGGGGUCAGGAAGUGGGUGGGACAUAGAACAACACAGGGCAGCUCAAGGAGGCGCCGAGCUGGCAGGUGCCAGGCUGGGCACAGCAGUCAAGCAGCGCGACUCCCCUCGCCACUGCCCGCAGAGGCGGGGGGUGCGUCCCCAGCCCUGUCUGGCCUCGAAGCCUUUGUGUCCAGCUGCCUGGUUGGGCAGCGGCGGCACAGCUGUGGGAAGCCCUUUCUAGCAAGGGACUCCACACAGCUCAUGGAAAAUGAAAGGAAAAGAUGAGUUUAUUUUGGCUAAAAAAAAAUCUGCAAUCCAGGCAUAGUUUGUUGUUUUUUUCUUUUUGUAAUAUGCAUUUUCCAUGCAUGUUUAAGAACCCCAAGGUUUUUUUCCUGGGGCAAGCGGCUCCUGUCUGUCUGCCCUGCCAGCUACAGCUUCCCUGCCCACGCUUCAAAGGGGAGCUCAGGUUCUGCUUCCUGGGGUGUGAUGGGAGCUGGAGUUCCCUGCGACCACCCUGUCUCCCCCAGAAAGGGCUUGGUCUGGGGGGACGGGCGAUGGUGGUGCCCAGCGGGGUGAGCACCGCCCACCGCCCUCCCUCCACGCUCUCUCCCUAGAGCAUUGCUCGGUGUAGCCUUGCCCGGAACAGGAGCUGUAUCUCCUUGCCUCUGCCCUUUGCCCUUUCGAGCCUCUCAUCUGGGGCCAGUUUUCUGGGGUCUGGGUGACCCUGAGCAGCAGCUCGGACUCCUGACCAGGACCAGCAGGGAAGGCUGUGUUUCCCAGGUACUGGGCAUGCAUGGGAGAGAUCUUCCUACCUUUUCGAAGUGUUUUUUCAGAGUCAUGAAAGAAAUGGCGAUAGUGGUGAAAAUGCAGGCAGCGCAGCUGUGGGUGGAGUUCACGGGCUGGACCCAUUGCAGUGCCCCCCACCCCCACCCCGCAGCUGCCAGUUCUCGCCAUCCCCUCCUCUCAGGGGUGGUGCUUUGGACCCCUGGCUGUUUUGUGACAGCCUAGCACCGGCUGCGGGAGCACCCUGCGCUGCUUCUGUUCCCAGAGCCUCAGUCUCUGAUGGACUCGUGGUGCCCAGGGCGGGGGCCUUCCACGAGGCAGCCAGGAGCUCGGCCUGCCCCAGGGCCCGGGACCGGCUGCUGCCAACUGUGCCCAGCUGUGUGCUCUGGCGCGCACCAGGCGGGAGUGAAGACAGGAAUCCCGCACACGCAGCUCGUCUGCAGGUCCUGGAGGAGUCCAGCUCCCCGCGGCUGCCCGCUGGGCCUUGCCUUGCAUCCAUGGGAAGGUGGACACUCGGCUCUCCCUCCUCUCUUUCUCCCAGAGUGGCCUCAGCUGUCGCCCUGGACUGGCAGCUCAGGAACGCAGAGAAAUUGCUUCAAGGGCGGGUGCGGCUCUUAUUCAAGCGAGACAAAGAGUGAGAAAUCGCCCCGUCAGCUCUGAAGCACCUGUGGAGGUGAGGGCGGCGGUGCUGUGAGCCGUCACCUGUUCUCGCGGCUGUCACCCACAGCAGCACUGGGGUCUUCAGGCAGCUGGGGUGAGGAUGCCAUCCCCUGCCGUGGGUCUCCCUCUGCAGCACAGCUCACGGUUGUCAUCGUCCAUGGCUCGUUUCUUGCCUGGGUCUCUCCCCACACACAUUGGAUCCCCCACGCCCAUCCUGGUGGACCGAGAGGACUCCCGAUUUCCCAGGAUUUGGUACAACCAAGAGCAGCGGUGCCAGAAUCUGCAGCACUGACAGCUUCGAGACCGCCCAGGUAAAGAUGGCUUCUGGUUUUCACGACUUGCAGCAGGAGCAUCAGGCCUGGGCAGAACAAGGCCCCUGUAGGGAGAAAGGAAGUGAAGGCAAAGUGGGGGCUCUACUGUGCUGCAGGCGGCUUUGGGUUUUUUUUGUUUGGUAUUUUUUGUUUGUGGUUUUUUUUGUUUUUUGUUUUUUUUUGUUUUUUUUUUUGGGGGGGGUAAAGAUUUUUGAAAGACAGAGAUGGAGAAAAAGUGGUCUUCCAUUUGCUGGCUCACUCCCCAAAUGGCCGCGAUGACUGGGGUUGGGCCAGGCCAAAGCCAGGAGCCAGGAGCUCCAUCUGGGUCUCCCACUGUUAUCCCAGGCCAUGAGCCAGCAGCUGGAUUGGAAGCGGAGCUGGCAGGACACAAACCAGCGCCUACACGGGAUGCCAGUGUUGUGGGCGGCGGCUUAACCUGCUGCACUGCAACGUCGGCUCCUCUCCCAGCCUUUUAAAGAUUUUAUUCACAUGAGAGGCAAAGAGAGAGAGCGCUCCCAUUCACAGGUUCAUUCCCCAAAUUCCCAGGCCAAAGCUGGGAGCUGGAAGUUCAGCCCAGGUCUUCCACAUGGGUGGCAGGAAUCCAAUUACCUGAGUGCUCACUGCUGCCUCCCAGGGUGACAUGAACAAGAAGCUGCAAUCAGACGCCUGAGCCAGGAUAGGGGACACAGCACCCCGGCGUGGGCUCGCGUGUCUAACCGGCGUCUUAACUACUAGACAUCCGCCCCUCUGUGGCCUGGAAAUGAGACCAAGGCUGCUGCAGAGCUGGGGACAUGCGAGUCUGUCUAGCUGUAAACAUGUGCCCUCUGACCUCGAAGUGUAGCUUUCCAGGGCUGCAGUCUUGUCUGUUUUGUAUUUCGUGGGACGCGGAUUUCACGCAUCGACUGUUUGCUCUGGCUUCCAGUCCUGGUCUCCUCUCCCUGGGCAGGUCAUCUCUUCCCUCUGAGGUCCUGGCCUUGGGAAAGAGAGCAAGGAGCCCUCUUCUGACCACCUGGGGCUUGGGGCCGCUGCCUUAGGGGACAGACACCUUCGCCCAGGCCGCUGCCUGGGUCUGCUGGGAAGUCGGGAGCAGGUGCAUGCGGCGAGGCUUGGGUGACCCUGAGGCACCUGUCCUGGCGCUGACUGUGAGUUCAAGGAUAGGCCUAGAUGGGAACUUGGAGUCACCCCUCACUGGGCUCGUGCCUGCUGGGACCUGCCUGGGAUUUACAAGGUGCCCACCCCUGAGAAGCACCCGGACUCCUCCACGCGCUGGGCUUGGAGCCUGUGAGUGCUCAGGAGUCUGUGUCCCGGCCCCUCACCCCCAUCUCUGGGCCCCAAAUACUUAGUCCAAGCUUCAGGGUCCAAGUGCCACUUGUACUUCAGUCCCAAGAGGCUGUUUUCAGCACCCUGGGGUCCCCUGCCUGGUCCAGGCUUGGCUGGGGGUAGAGGGAGGAGGAACCUUUAUUUGGGUCCCCACUUGUCCCUGUGCUUAUGUGACGACAUGGUCGCUGCACGCUGUGCCCUUGGUGCUGUCCUAGACACCUGCCGGCUCAGGUAUGGAGUUAGAAUCUUACCGUUUCCCACGUUCCCCGGGAGGUUAGAGCCGCCACGCUAAACGAUAAGCAUCGCUCUCUAAGGGCUCUCUAAUGGCAGUGCCCCAGGCUGUCCUGUUUGGGGAGGACUAAGGCGAGGGUCACUGGGCAUUUGUGGAAGCCAGGCCAGGGUGCCCUUUGUGCCAGGCGUCCCCUCAGUGUGUGGCGGGCGGGUGGGUUCUCAGAGGGACUUUCUCCUCACAGAGAGAAGGCACCAGCUCAUGAGCCUGUUUUUUUUUCUGCGCCACCUUGCCUGCAGCUCCGGUCUCUGGGACAUCCCGUGCUGGGAUGAGGUCCCCGUGGCCCUCCUGUCCCACACCCCUGCACCCAUGGUCAUUUCACUGCAUCUCCAGCAGCUCCGGAUGGUGGUCAGCUUUCUGUGUCAGCUUGGCCAGGCCGUAGCACCCGGGGAAUUCAACCAAACCCUGACCUGGGUGCAGCUGUGCUUGGUAGGUGGGGUCAGCAUCUACAGUCACGGCCUUGGAGUGAAGGAGGGUGUCCCCUAUAACACGGGUGGGCUUCACCCAAGCUCUGAGCGCACCACUGAGGUUUCCCUGGGGAAGGGGUACGUCCACCUCGGACUGCAGGGUUCCCGGCUGGCCUGGCCGCCUCCCGAUCCCACACUUGGCCCAGCCAGCCCACAGUCACAAAGGCCAGUUGUUUGCAAUGUGUUACCCAUCUCCUCCUUCUGGCUCUCACUGGCACGCUCACCGCAAGGUUCCCGCGACGGGACGGGAGGCGCUGGCCUCUGCUCCACUGUCCUUUUCCGACUCUCUUCCAGGAGUGCCGACGGUUUCUCGGUCCCCAUCAGCCGGCGGUGGGGUCACAUCUUUCUGUUCCCCCGGUCUCCUUUUUAUCAGCAGGUCCCGGGAGAAGCCACGGACGCGCGCCGGGGAGGGGCCGGCUGUGAGUGUUUCUUUGGCAGUGUCUUAGCUGGUUGUUGUGAGUCACAGAGAAGGAAGCAAUCAGCAAGUAUACUGCCCUAGAAGUGCUGCACGUUGUGGGGCCCAGGACGCAGGGAGGCGGCGAGAGACGUCUGGACAUCGUGAGCCCUGCUCCGCCCCGCGAUGGGUGCCUGAGGGCUGCUGGGGGAAGCAGGCCUCAGGAGAGACCCACUCGGGCUGCUGAAGGGAAAGGCUGGGGGUUGGGGUGUGCAGGCUGCUUCCGGCUGGGGGAGAUCUGCACGCAGGAGUCACGGCCAGCAUUCACAGAGCCCCUCCUGAGCGCCCUAAACCUGUCGGGUCAGGGCAAGUCUGCUCUUAAACCUGUGCUACAGAGCAGGGAGCAGAAGGGCCAGGGCAGAGGGGCUGAGGGCGCCGCGAGUCAGGCAGGGCCAGCUGCCCGACACAGGCGGCCUGAGUCUGCUGUCCUGGCUGCUGGCUCGGGCCCUGAGAGGUGGGCUCACCUAACAGUGACUUGAACAAAAACUCACACUCAUGCUCCCCGCGAGACCAGCGCGGGUUUGGGGAGCUGGCUCUGCCCCAGGGAGGAGUUUCCUUUCCUGUGCCGGUGGUGACAAUUAAGGUUCCUGCAGGGGAGCUUGGUGAGGGUGGGGGACAGUCAGUGCUCUGGGUGCCUCUGGCUCCACCCACGGAGGCCGACUUUGGGUCCAGGGAACUGCAAGGACGGGGGUUGCCAGGGCAACAGGAACUGGCUGCCAGACACUGGCAGGUGCAGAGCACACGGAGGGCACAGCCUCCUGGAUGGCCCAGGAGCCUGCCCUGCACCUGGCCAGAGCUCACCGAGCAGCCUCUGGGCCCUGCCUGCCUGCCCUCGCUGCGGUUGAACUCCCUGGCGUGGAGCUGUCAGCGAUCCCACUCUCCGUCCCACUGAUGGCGGCCAGCACUGCCCAGUCUGGCACUUAGAGAAAUCGGCCAAGCCUGAGAGGUGAACCCCAGGGCCCUCAGCCCUCCAACCCCAUUGGCUAAAAGAAGCCUCCAGGAUCCGUGUGGGCACCAAUGGGGGGCCACUCUGGGGCCUUUGGCACAGACCCUCCUGAGAACCCCCCCACCUCGCCAUGCCCCACCCCUGCACCCUUCCAGCCCCUGCCCAGCUCACCCCUGCUCCUGCCCACCUGCCGAGACCCAGUCUUCCUGCUGCCCUUGUGUCUCGGGGUUUGUUCCUUCUGCACCUGGCUAGCAGGUCCUCAUCCCCUCACCAGCAGCGAGUCAGGCAGGGCCAGGCCCCCCUCCCAACACCCCCUUGCUGGGAGGACUCUCCUGCUCUUCUCCCACGAGACACGGGCACGAGCAUGGCUCCAGAGAAGGCGCUUUUGUGAGGGCACGCGUGGGACUGCUCCCCUCCGCGCCCGGCCCGCGGAGCCGGGUAGGCGUGGGCGGCAGUGGGGCAGAGGAGAUGCCUGGAAUGCGGGCUGCAGAGACAGCAGUGGCCUCGGAGUCCUCUGGGGUUUUCACUGAGGCAGCACUUGGCGUAGCUUCAGAGCCAAGUCCUCACAUCUUUCCCAGUUUCAGGCAGAAGCGAGGAAUGUCUGCCCUUCCCCCACAGCAGCUCGGCCAGAGGCCCGAGUUUUUAAAGAGAUCAAGGGCUCUGGUUUAUGAUUGGAGGAGCCUGUUCGUUGGCGCCCAGGUGAGAUCACCUGCAAGGACCCUGUUUUCCUGGCUGGCUCGGGGUUCAGUUAUGCCAGCAUGCACACAAGAAUUGUCCCGGGACAAGUCACGACGCUGGUGAAGACAGCCGCAUGCCACAGCAGAGCCAGUGCAGACCCGAGAUGCAGGAGCGACGGCUCAAGCGCUCGAGUCCCUGCCAUCACGUGAGACUCGGAUGGAGCUCCGUGGCCAUUGCAGGUGUUUGGGCAUGAGGCAGCACAUAGCGGGGCGCUCGCGCUCACUCUCGCUCUCUUUCUCACUCUCUCUGCCUUUCAAAUAAAAAACAAUAAAACAUUUUUUUUUGACAGGCAGAGUGGACAGUGAGAGAGAGACAGAGAGAAAGGUCUUCCUUUGCCGUUGGUUCACCCUCCAAUGGCCACUGCGGCCGGCGCGCUGCGGCCGGCGCACCGCACUGAUCCGAAGCCAGGAGCCAGGUGCUUUUCCUGGUCUCCCAUGGGGUGCAGGGCCCAAGCACCUGGCCAUUCUCCACUGCCUUCCUGGCCACAGCAGAGAGCUGGCCUGGAAGAGGGGCAACCGGGACAGAAUCCGGCGCCCCGACCGGGACUAGAACCCAGGGUGCCGGUGCCACAGGCAGAGGAUUAGCCUAUUGAGCCACGGCACUGGCCUAAAACAUUUUUUAAAAAGGAAAAAUUGUCCUCCUCGGAGUCUGCCUGU